rnacentral:lncRNA from 1 species
UUUCUAGUUAAUUCCUUAAGAAAUUAGCUACCUUGUGCUUAACUCCAGAGAUGCCCAUCUUUUGACAUAACCUUAUAUAUAUUAACGUGAUGCUCUAUUUUAAAUUUCGUAGCAAUCGGAGUUGUAGAACUCCGGUUAUAGCGAUUUCCGUCGGAAAAUCACAAAAAUUGAAAUGGUCAUAACUCGGUCUUUUUAAGUCGGAAUUAGUUCAUUUUUGGACACGAGGUACUUAAUACCAUAUAUUUUCAUUUCUCAAAAGGCCGGAAUUUAUUUCACACUUUAAGUUGCCAAAACAGCCCCUGGACAGAUCUGGACAUAAACUUUUUGUCAUUUGGCAGUUUUGGAGUUCUUUACUAAAUCUUAAAUAAAAUGAGAUCUGUAACUCCGAUUAACGAUCCGUCAAUUUUGUUGGAUUCCUAUCUUUUCGAACUACAGUUUUCAUCUAUCACAAUCCAUAUUUGGACAUGUUAAGCUCCCAGAAAUUAGCCCGGAAGUGGCUGUUAAAAACUGUUGCUCUAACAGUUUUUCUUACCUUUGCGUAGUUUGGGAGAAAUUUCAUAACUCUCUCCUCCGAUGUCGGAUUUAGUCCGUUUUGGAGUCUAUGGAAAGCUUAUUGAGUUUACUAUAACAUACCAAAAGCUCAGAAUUUUUAGAGCAAGCUAGCUAACCCCGAAAAUUCCUUUUUGUGGCAGCAACGUUUUGGCAAAAAAAAAAACAGUUUUGGGGUCCUUCACCGUAAAAUCCAUAUCUCUCAAACCGUAUGGCCAAAAAU